rnacentral:lncRNA from 1 species
UUGGGAGAAGAUAAACUAACUAUGGAAAAUAGUUGGCUGGGCCGUUGGAGGUUGAGACAGUGAAAGUUGUCUAGUGGGGUUUUAUGGGAAUGGCUGUCCAUCGUAAAGGAUAAUUGAAAGGUAGAAGAUAGGACUUACUUAAAGGGGAGAGAAUGUGAAAGGUUUCUCACUGUUCGCUGAAACUGCAUCUAUGUAGGUGGAUAUGCUUAGUGACUCAAAUUGGCGAUGCUUCUCAAGUUCUUGCAUGAAGACUAUGACAGUGGUAAUGUUUAAACUUUGAUUUGAUAGUUAAGCACAUGUUUUCUAACAAAUUGCACGUAAGUUUAUUUACUUGAUCCCUAUAAUUUUUCUUAAUCAUUCAUCAAUGACAUUUUAUCUUAAAAAAAAUAAAGUUUUGCCAUAAUUACUGCAACUGGAUCAUCUAAUGAACCAUGCUGAUUUCUUAUUAUCUGACGACUUCCUUUCUAAAAGAAGGAUACAGUCAUUUGGUGUCUUUGAACUGCUACUGAGUCAUUUUUAUGUUUCAAACUGGGAAUAGGUUGAGAGUUGGUUGUAUGUGAUGUUUUGUAAUAAUAUUUAAUUCUUCUUCGAAUUUUGUACGAAGGACAUGAAUACGAUAAGCAUAGUUGUAUUGACACUUAAAAUGACACUGCACGACUAAACAAACAACUGACCUUUUUUUUUUGUGUGUGUUAUGGGGGAGACUCCGAAUAGGGGUUGGGUUUGGCAGGACCCCUAACUGUAAUUAAUAUAUAGAAUUAAAACCUUGAGGGGGACUUUGGGCCUUGCCUCAAUACAAGUAGGAGUAAAAACAAGGCUCAAUUGGGCGUGGACGGAGUCCAAAAACAAAAAGGAAACAAAAUGAAAACAUGACAAGGAAGCCCAAAACGAAGUCAGCUCCUUGGACUAAACAAACAUCUAACCUCAGCUGGUAUCUUAGUCAGGAAAAUGAAAGAGGUGUUCGCGCGCGGAGGGGUGGGGUGAAAUUAUCAGGUUCAUAGGCCAUGAGGGCAAAAUCAUGAACACCUUGUUACCACUACAGCUCACUGGUGCGUCUUCACACCACCAACUCAUAUCUAAGACCACAUACUUAGUGCUAGAAUUAAGUAGUCCAAGACUUGCUUCUGAAAUUUCUAUUCUUGUCAUUUCAUCUUUAUCACAUCAUUGCCUAGUAGGAGUCUCAUUCAGACUUAGUUAUACAGUAGUUGUUAUUACAAGGGAAGAUUGCUGAAUGCCUAAAUCAUGAUGGUCCUUAUUUUGACAGCAUACAGUCCAUAGCAAAUCAGGAAAAAUCCGUUCAUAACAAAAGAUUGGUUGAAAACUCUGGUGUUUGUGUUGAGUCAGAUAAUAUUAACCAUUGGUGGAACUUGUUCGGCUUCUGUUGAUUCAGGUUAUCAACCUUAUUUAGCACAGGUAAUAUAUGGAAAUGAGUUUUUACUGUUAUUUAUUUUCUCCAUAAUGGUAGAUUCUAGCUGCUUUUUGAAGAAGCACCGUACCAAUAGUUAAAAUAAAAUAGUAUCCAUCUCAUGAAAGACCGACCCUAAGUUCUUUUAUCAAUUUACAAAUCGGACUCUGUUGCUUGUACAUCCAACUCUGAACUAAUACCCCAGUUUGAAACUUAAAUGGGCCUUAUUGGGGUAUAUAUGCAAAGUUUGACAAUACACCCAUCAUAUGUAUUCGGAUAGUCCUGACAUUACUUGUCCGUGAUUAAACACCUGCUUGAAUUCUAUGUGUG